UUUAAAGAGAGUUUGAUCCUGGCUCAGGACGAACGCUGGCGGCGUGCCUAAUACAUGCAAGUCGAACGAACGGAGGAAGAGCUUGCUCUUCCAAAGUUAGUGGCGGACGGGUGAGUAACACGUGGGCAACCUGCCUGUAAGUUGGGGAUAACUCCGGGAAACCGGGGCUAAUACCGAAUGAUAAAGUGUGGCGCAUGCCACGCUUUUGAAAGAUGGUUUCGGCUAUCGCUUACAGAUGGGCCCGCGGUGCAUUAGCUAGUUGGUAGGGUAAUGGCCUACCAAGGCAACGAUGCAUAGCCGACCUGAGAGGGUGAUCGGCCACACUGGGACUGAGACACGGCCCAGACUCCUACGGGAGGCAGCAGUAGGGAAUCUUCCGCAAUGGACGAAAGUCUGACGGAGCAACGCCGCGUGUAUGAAGAAGGUUUUCGGAUCGUAAAGUACUGUUGUUAGAGAAGAACAAGGAUAAGAGUAACUGCUUGUCCCUUGACGGUAUCUAACCAGAAAGCCACGGCUAACUACGUGCCAGCAGCCGCGGUAAUACGUAGGUGGCAAGCGUUGUCCGGAUUUAUUGGGCGUAAAGCGCGCGCAGGCGGUCUUUUAAGUCUGAUGUGAAAGCCCCCGGCUUAACCGGGGAGGGUCAUUGGAAACUGGAAGACUGGAGUGCAGAAGAGGAGAGUGGAAUUCCACGUGUAGCGGUGAAAUGCGUAGAUAUGUGGAGGAACACCAGUGGCGAAGGCGACUCUCUGGUCUGUAA
rnacentral:rRNA from 1 species